CUUUGGAGACAUGUGGAAGACGAGAAGAUGGUGAAUUGUAUAUGUUACCUUCGUUAAUUGAUCUCUUGUAAUUUAACGAGAUAAGUUUAGAAAUGAAACUUUUAUUUUGUUUUGAUUUUUAACUUGGUAUUAUAACUCUAGUCACAGCAGUCUAACAAAUUGCAAUUUUCAAAAUAAAAAAUAUCGCCAAUUUCCAUGAAUCAACAGCAUAGCAGUGGCACAGCCACAAGAACUUUGCCGUUUUACUCGGUGUUGUUCCACGUGAAAUAUGAACACCUUCUAGCUGGUGUGAGUGGUGGAGUUGCAUCAACAUUAGUUCUUCACCCACUGGAACUAUUAAAAAUUCGUUUUGCUGUUAAUGAUGGUCAUUUAAAGAGUAGACCUCAAUACAAAGGGCUUGUUCAUGCCGUUUCAACAAUCCUGAAAGAAGAAGGUGCCCGAGGAUUGUAUCGUGGAGUCACACCAAAUUGCUGGGGUGCUGGAACAGCAUGGGGCUUUUACUUUUUCCUCUAUAAUGCCAUCAAAGCAUGGAUGUUAGAAGGAACUUCGAAAACCAAUCUCGGACCUGGUAGACACAUGUUGGCUGCAGCAGAAGCAGGUAUUCUUACUUUAGCUAUCACCAACCCAGUUUGGGUAGUCAAAACUCGCAUGUGUCUUCAGUAUGCAAACUUGGAGACCCUUUCACCUUCAAAACGUUAUUCUGGGAUGAUAGAUGCUUUAGUGAAAAUUUAUCGUUAUGAGGGUUUUCGAGGCUUUUACAAGGGUUUUAUUCCUGGUGUGUUUGGGGUUUCUCAUGGAGCUCUACAAUUUAUGGCAUAUGAAGAAAUGAAGAAGUUGUAUAUUAACCACUAUAACCUCAUUCCUGAUGCAAAACUGGGGGUCCUGGAAUACCUGACCUUUGCUGCUGCCUCCAAGUUAUUUGCUGCCUCAACAACCUAUCCAUACCAAGUAAUACGAGCACGAUUACAGGACCAACAUAAAGAGUACAAUGGUGUUGUUGAUGUACUGAAAAAAACGUGGAGAUUUGAAGGAACUCGAGGUUUUUACAAGGGACUUCUACCAAGCUUAUUGAGAGUUACGCCUGCAACUGCUAUUACUUUUGUUGUUUAUGAAAAUGUCUCUCGGUUUCUUCUACAUAAGAAAUAGAUUAACAUAAAACUUGGUAGUUUGAAUAUAAGAAAAAGCUUCUAGAAUUGUUUCUGCACUUUUAUAAUCAAACUACAUGUUAUUGAGCUUUAUUGUAUACAUUUUCUCGGUUUUAUUUUUGAGUUGAAACUCAGAAGAGAUUUCCAAAAAUUGUCUCACUUUUGAUACAGUUGUAUCUUUUGUAUUUAUCAUCCUUCAAGAUGCAUGUAUUUUGUUAUUCAAACUUACCUAAUCAUAGUUUAAGGUGUUAGGUGAAACAAUUUGUGAAAGUUUCCGGUGAAUUUAAUUUUGUAUUGUUAGUUCUGUAUGAUGGACAUGGAACUAUUUCAUUGUCUUUCUAAUAAUUCUCAAGUUGAUUGAAAUUUUAAGGUUGUAUACUUUAUAGAAACAGAUAUAAAAUGGAUUGUGUAUAACUAUCCUUAAAGUAUUAAAAAUUACUGUUAAAGUUAUUUUAAAUGAUACUGAAAUUCAAACACUUGGAACAUUAUCAAAACAUUUAACAAAAGAUAAUUUUAUUGUUUGUUAUUAUCUUCACUCAAUUUAAGGAAGAGAAAUAACUAAAUGUUUUUUCUUAAUAAAAAGACCUUUCUAAUAAGUUUAAAAACUGACAGUGUGCAUAAACCUUUAAACUUAUUUUCGUUUUUCAGUACCACAUUAAACUCUCAGUUUUAUAUGCAGAAAGUGAUAGAAAUAAACAAAAAGUCCUUGUGAAAAUUUAAUUGAAAAUAAGCCUUUUUAAUUUAACAGAAGUUUCCAUUUGUAAAAGUGUAAAAUUAUAUUACAGUAAACUAAACUAUAAUUACAAAGGAAAGAAAAAGGUAACAGAAAGGCUGAUACACCUCAUUGUAAUAGUUAAGAUUCCUAAAAGUCUUGUCCAAACAUUUUACAUUGCUUGUUCAUUGUAAAUUUCCUACUCACAAAUGAAUCCAGAGAAAAAGCAAAUUCAACAUAUAUUUAUGAUUAAAAUUAUGUAUAGAUGUUCUUGGCUGUAACAAUAUUUUACUGUCAUUUAUUGAGGGCUAAUUGCAUUUUAUAAAAAAUGAUGUUCCAUGCCUUAUGCAGGCUUUGAAAGUACUACCUCCAUUGUUGAUCAUAAUGGGUCUUAUUUGUGAUUAUGCAAUAUAUCCUGUCACCAUAAUUUCCAGAUUUCUGCAAAAAAUGUUAUUUUCCUGAUGAGUUUACACAGGCCCUUCACUGUACACUGAAAUUACUCCUAAGACAGAUGAAAGGCACAAACAUCCAUCAACACUGCACUGGGAAGAUUUUACAGAUACUCUGCAAGGUUUUCUGCUUUCAUGAAGGACAUUGAAGACUCCUAUCUUUAAAGUGUUGUUUAACAUUCUUGCUUUAUGAACACUCUUCCACGGAAAGGGUUGUGAAAUGUAUCCAGCUGUAUGCACCUGUCACAGUGUUGCAUUAAUGAAUGGUCUGAUUCUGUUGUGAACCAAAUGUAAACGUGCUAAGCACAUUGCACUUGUCACCGUGGCUUGCAUCUGCAGAAAAGACCACUGCAUUUACAUAUUUAAGUCAUUCUUAUAUUGUGUGGUUAAUUGGGCCAUUGUUUACCAGAAAUUUCCAAAAUUAACACAGCUUUCUAAAAAAUUAUCCUAAAUUUCUGAGAUAAAUGUUUGAUUUUAAUGGGAGUUUCUUAAAUGUCGUGAAUUUUUUAAACUUCAAUUUUAAAAAAAUAGAGCAACAUAAAUUAUUAUGAAACUAAGAUUAAGUUUUCUCUGUGUCCAUUUGUGCAAGUGCAACUAUGCAUGUGUUGAAAUUUGUUUAGUUUCUCCAUUUUUAUGAAGAUACUAUUAUAAGCUUAUGUUAAAGAAUUUUCAAAAAAGAUGUGUCCCUGUAGUUGGAGGUAAUUUAUUCUGUUCUGUCUGUUUAUCACAUUAUAAGACCAUUUCAUUUAAAUGCUCUAGAAGACUAAAAAAGUGCCAGUGAAGCAAUGAUUAACAGUGGCUGCAUAGCAAAAUGAAAAUACACUUAACAGUAAUGGUUUUAUAUAUUAAUAUUGUUUUCAAUAGUUAGAUUUACUAAUAUCAGGUAGGCUUAUAUUCAGAAUUUCUGAAAGUUAAAGUUGUGGUAAUUUGUUUUUCCAGAAAACACUGGCCCUAGUUAUUAACUUUUUAUGUUACUUUUAAACUAUGAAAAUCUUUAUUUCUAAAGUCUAUUGUGUAAUCUAAAAUCUAAGCACUGGUAAUAGAUAUAUAUUAAAUCUUUGCAAUAUUUUUUAAUAAAUGUUACUGUUAAGCCUGACUAAAGUUAUAUAAAAGGUAAAAAAACUAAUUUAAAAAUUUCUAUUUACAUAUAAUUUAAUAUUAGCAACAUUAUGUUAUGCUGUUUACUCCUGGCUAAUUUCACAUACAUUUGUCUAACGAUGAGAUUUUACAAAACUUGUCUGGACAUUAUGGAGUCAUGAUGUGUAUGUGUGUGAGUAAAACAUCCUAGAGAGUUUUAAGUUUUGAAAUGUAAAUGAUUUGAAGUAGUAUAUGAUUGAGAGCUUCUCAAAACAUUAUAUAAAUUAAAAACUGAAUGGUUUGGAGGACAUAUCAGGAUACUUAGAUAUACCUAAAUGAAUUAUUGAGUGUACAAAAUGAUUAUGUGGUUGUGUUUUACCAUCAUUAUUUGAUGUAAGAAAUGUGUCAUGUACUUGUGACUCUCAAACAGUAUCAUCCUUUUGUAAACGAACUCGUAUAAGCUGUUAUGAACCACGCUUACAUGUGUGUAAGAUGUUAAAAAACACUGUCUUCUGAGACAAUAACUCUCCUCCUCACACACAUCAGCUAUCUUCUUCACACAUCUACUAAAGAGAUAUGCAUACCACUAUCCUUGAGAUAACUCCCACCUAAUUUCAUGUGAAUUGUGGCACUGCAUGAUGACAUCGUCAUGCAAUAUAGCCCACCAGUAAUUAGAAGGCAAUAUGUCUCCCUGUAUACCAACUCCCCCGAUACAUUUGCACUGUGAAUCUUCAUUAUUUUCCUUGACACUA
rnacentral:misc_RNA from 1 species